rnacentral:rRNA from 1 species
CUGAGUGCGAGCGUUAUCGGAUUUACUGGGCGUAAGCUCGGCGUAGGCGGACUUAUUAGUCGGAUGUCGAAUCCCCGAGCUUACUUGGGAAUUGCAUUCGAUACUGGUGAGCUAGAGUAUGGGAGAGGAUGGUAGAAUUCCAGGUGUAGCGGUGAUAUGCGUAGAGAUCUGGAGGAUACCGAUGGCGAAGGCAGCCAUCUGGCCUAAUACUGACGCUGAGGUACGAAAGCAUGGGGGAGCAAACAGGAUUAGAUACCCUGGUAGUCCAUGCCGUAAACGAUGUCCACUAGCCGUUGGGGCUUUGAGGCUUUAGUGGCCCACUAACGCGAUAAUAAACCGCCUGGGGAGUACGGCCCCAAAAUAAAAUCAAGGGAUUGGCGGGG